GAUGAAGAACGUAGCGAAAUGCGAUAAGUAAUGUGAAUUGCAGAAUUCAGUGAAUCAUCGAAUCUUUGAACGCACAUUGCGCCCCUUGGUAUUCCGGGGGGCAUGCCUGUUCGAGCGUCAUUAUAACCCCUCAAGCUCAGCUUGGUGUUGGGGCCUGCCGACUGGCAGCCCUUGAAAUCAGUAGCGGCGCCAUCUGGCUCUAAGCGUAGUAAUUUCUCUCGCUAUAGAGUCCCGGUGGAUGCUUGCCAGCAACCCCCAACUUUCUAUGGUUGACCUCGGAUCAGGUAGGGAUACCCGCUGAACUUAAGCAUAUCAAUAAGCGGAGGA
rnacentral:misc_RNA from 1 species